AUGUGGUUUAAUUCGACGCACGCGCAGAACUUACCUGGGCUUGACAUCCCGAUCGCACUUCUGGAAACAGAGAGGUCAGUUCGGCUGGAUCGGUGACAGGUGCUGCAUGGCUGUCGUCAGCUCGUGUCGUGAGAUGUUGGGUUAAGUCCCGCAACGAGCGCAACCCUCGUCCUUAGUUGCCAGCAUUAAGUUGGGCACUCUAAGGAGACUGCCGGUGUUAAACCGGAGGAAGGCGGGGAUGACGUCAAGUCCUCAUGGCCCUUAUGUCCAGGGCUACACACGUGCUACAAUGGCCGGUACAAAGGGUAGCAAGACCGCGAGGUGGAGCCAAUCCCAAAAAGCCGGUCUCAGUUCGGAUUGGAGUCUGCAACUCGACUCCAUGAAGUUGGAAUCGCUAGUAAUCGUGGAUCAGCAUGCCACGGUGAAUACGUUCCCGGGCCUU
rnacentral:rRNA from 1 species